UAAGGAAUAUUGCUCAAUGGGAGAAAUCCUGAAGCAGCAACGCCGCGUGGAGGAUGAAGGGUUUUUAACUUGUAAACUCCUGUAAAGAAGGAAAAAAUUCCCAUUAGAUGGGAAAUGAUGGUACUUCUGGAGUAAGCCCCGGCUAACUACGUGCCAGCAGCCGCGGUAAUACGUAGGGGGCAAGCGUUGUCCGGAUUUACUGGGUGUAAAGGGUGCUCAGGCGGAUUUGUAAGUCAGAGGUGAAAUCUCACAGCUUAACUGUGAAACUGCCUUUGAUACUGCAAGCCUAGAGUAUGGAAGAGAGUGAUGGAAUAUCUGGUGUAGCAGUGAAAUGCGUAGAUAUCAGAUAGAACACCAAUGGCGAAGGCAGUCACUUGGUCCAUAACUGACGCUAAAGCACGAAAGCGUGGGUAGCAAACAGGAUUAGAUACCCUGGUAGUCCACGCCCUAAACGAUGAAUACUAGAUGUUGGCUUCGCAUGAAGUCAGUAUCUGAGCUAACGCAUUAAGUAUUCCACCUGGGAAGUACGAUCGCAGGUUGAAACUCAAAUGAAUUGACGGGGUCAUAGCUGUUUCCUG
rnacentral:rRNA from 1 species